rnacentral:misc_RNA from 1 species
UUUCACGGAUCGUCCACCACUGGAGUUAAAAAACAAAGUAGAAGACAAGCAGGAACGAGGCAUUAAUCUGUUGCAGAUGUACGAAGUGGCAGUAAGGGCUGGGAGGAUUAUGAUAAGAGAAUGGAGAGCUGCUCCUAGCCUGGGAGGAUGAGGCCAUUCCAGUCAAGUAGAGUUGAGUUGACUCGGUGAGUGAGAAAGAGUUCCAGAGAGGGGAUGAGA